rnacentral:rRNA from 1 species
UCGGGAAUCUUCGGCAAUGGACGAAAGUCUGACCGAGCAACGCCUCGUGAGUGAAGAAGGUUUUCGGAUCGUAAAACUCUGUUGUUAGAGAAGAACAAGGACGUUAGUAACUGAACGUCCCCUGACGGUAUCUAACCAGAAAGCCACGGCUAACUACUUCCCAGCAGCCGCGGUAAUACGUAGGUGGCAAGCGUUGUCCGGAUUUAUUGGGCGUAAAGCGAGCGCAGGCGGUUUCUUAAGUCUGAUGUGAAAGCCCCCGGCUCAACCGGGGAGGGUCAUUGGAAACUGGGAGACGUGAGUGCAGAAGAGGAGAGUGGAAUUCCAUGUGUAGCGGUGAAAUGCGUAGAUAUAUGGAGGAACACCAGUGGCGAAGGCGGCUCUCUGGUCUGUAACUGACGCUGAGGCUCGAAAGCGUGGGGAGCAAACAGG